UGGGGAAUAUUGCACAAUGGGCGCAAGCCUGAUGCAGCCAUGCCGCGUGUAUGAAGAAGGCCUUCGGGUUGUAAAGUACUUUCAGCGGGGAGGAAGGCGAUAAGGUUAAUAACCUUGUCGAUUGACGUUACCCGCAGAAGAAGCACCGGCUAACUCCGUGCCAGCAGCCGCGGUAAUACGGAGGGUGCAAGCGUUAAUCGGAAUUACUGGGCGUAAGGCGCACGCAGGCGGUCUGUCAAGUCGGAUGUGAAAUCCCCGGGCUCAACCUGGGAACUGCAUUCGAAACUGGCAGGCUAGAGUCUUGUAGAGGGGGGUAGAAUUCCAGGUGUAGCGGUGAAAUGCGUAGAGAUCUGGAGGAAUACCGGUGGCGAAGGCGGCCCCCUGGACAAAGACUGACGCUCAGGUGCGAAAGCGUGGGGAGCAAACA
rnacentral:rRNA from 1 species